ACCAUGAAAGUAAAAUUACAUUUAAUUUCGACUUAAAAAAUGGAAUAAAUAUUCCUCAUGAUU
rnacentral:tRNA from 1 species